CCUUUUAAAAUUUCCCCCGGGGGAAGUUGAAAAGUACUUUGAAAAGAGAGUGCAAGAGAACGUGAAACCGGUGUAAUGGAAGCGAAUGGAGCCGACGUAUCUAGUGCGUAUUCAGCCUUCUGGGCGCGUGAUUGGUGUUUGUGCAUUGCCGCAAGGUGUGCCUGGCGCUAUUGUCGCGUGUUCGGUUGGUGCAUUUGCGUACGGAGUGCGCCGGGUUGUGUGGUGUUGUCGGACGAUGCGCGUUUAGAGGACCCGGGCUUCGGCGCUGGGAACCCUGGGCGUGCGGAGUUCGGUUGGCGCUGCGCAGCUUUGUGGAGACGUGGGUUUUUCGCGUGCCGCGGUGUCGACAGGCUCGGUUCGGGUGGUACACAUGUGUGCAGCCCUUAUGGGGUCGGUCGGUGUUGUGGUGUGCUCUGCGUUCUUCCCGGUGUUCAGUCGGUGACCCAUUCGACCCGUCUUGAAACACGGACCAAGGAGUUUAUGGUAUGCGCAAGUCAUUGGGUUUGUCGAAGCCUAAAGGCGUAAUGAAAGUGAGACAUUACUUGUCUGAACGUGACUGGGUGCGGCAUUCGUGCGGCCCAAGCAACGUUGCCCCGUUUCGAGGACUUGUCCUGAUGCGGAGGUUGAGCGUAUGCUAUGAGACCCGAAAGAUGGUGAACUAUGCCUGAACAGGACGAAGCCAGAGGAAACUCUGGUGGAAGUCCGAAGCGGUUCUGACGUGCAAAUCGAUCGUCUGAUUUUGGUAUAGGGGCGCAAGACUAAUCGAACCAUCUAUAGUGGGUUCCUCUUUCCCA
rnacentral:rRNA from 1 species